AUCCGCUUCUGCCAGGAAUGUAACAACAUGCUGUACCCCAAGGAGGACAAGGAGAACCGGAUCCUGCUCUACGCCGAACUGCGAUUACCAGCAGGAGGCCGACAACAGCUGCAUCUACGUCAACAAGAUCACGCACGAAGUGGA